CAGAAGAAACGAGGGAUGGAUAAUGUA
rnacentral:piRNA from 1 species